CCCAAGCUCCUAUCGCUUUGAAACUGCCUAAAUAACGUUUUCAGCGCCUAAUGAGCACAACUCUGUUAGGACA